UGGAAUUACAAGCAUGCACCUCCUGGACCU
rnacentral:piRNA from 1 species